rnacentral:rRNA from 1 species
GGACAGUGGGCUGACUAUACAUGCAAGUCGAACGCGUUGGCCCAAUUGAUUGAUGGUGCUUGCACCUGAUUGAUUUUGGUCGCCAACGAGUGGCGGACGGGUGAGUAACACGUAGGUAACCUACCCAGAAGCGGGGGACAACAUUUGGAAACAGAUGCUAAUACCGCAUAACAACGUUGUUCGCAUGAACAACGCUUAAAAGAUGGCUUCUCGCUAUCACUUCUGGAUGGACCUGCGGUGCAUUAGCUUGUUGGUGGGGUAACGGCCUACCAAGGCGAUGAUGCAUAGCCGAGUUGAGAGACUGAUCGGCCACAAUGGGACUGAGACACGGCCCAUACUCCUACGGGAGGCAGCAGUAGGGAAUCUUCCACAAUGGGCGCAAGCCUGAUGGAGCAACACCGCGUGAGUGAAGAAGGGUUUCGGCUCGUAAAGCUCUGUUGUUAAAGAAGAACACGUAUGAGAGUAACUGUUCAUACGUUGACGGUAUUUAACCAGAAAGUCACGGCUAACUACGUGCCAGCAGCCGCGGUAAUACGUAGGUGGCAAGCGUUAUCCGGAUUUAUUGGGCGUAAAGAGAGUGCAGGCGGUUUUCUAAGUCUGAUGUGAAAGCCUUCGGCUUAACCGGAGAAGUGCAUCGGAAACUGGAUAACUUGAGUGCAGAAGAGGGUAGUGGAACUCCAUGUGUAGCGGUGGAAUGCGUAGAUAUAUGGAAGAACACCAGUGGCGAAGCGGCUACCUGGUCUGCAACUGACGCUGAGACUCGAAAGCAUGGGUAGCGAACAGGAUUAGAUACCCUGGGUAGUCCAUGGCC